rnacentral:rRNA from 1 species
UUUAUGGAGAGUUUGAUCCUGGCUCAGGAUGAACGCUGGCGGCGUGCCUAAUACAUGCAAGUCGAGCGAACGGACGAGAAGCUUGCUUCUCUGAUGUUAGCGGCGGACGGGUGAGUAACACGUGGAUAACCUACCUAUAAGACUGGGAUAACUUCGGGAAACCGGAGCUAAUACCGGAUAAUAUUUUGAACCGCAUGGUUCAAAAGUAAAAGACGGUCUUGCUGUCACUUAUAGAUGGAUCCGCGCUGCAUUAGCUAGUUGGUAAGGUAACGGCUUACCAAGGCAACGAUGCAUAGCCGACCUGAGAGGGUGAUCGGCCACACUGGAACUGAGACACGGUCCAGACUCCUACGGGAGGCAGCAGUAGGGAAUCUUCCGCAAUGGGCGAAAGCCUGACGGAGCAACGCCGCGUGAGUGAUGAAGGUCUUCGGAUCGUAAAACUCUGUUAUUAGGGAAGAACAUAUGUGUAAGUAACUGUGCACAUCUUGACGGUACCUAAUCAGAAAGCCACGGCUAACUACGUGCCAGCAGCCGCGGUAAUACGUAGGUGGCAAGCGUUAUCCGGAAUUAUUGGGCGUAAAGCGCGCGUAGGCGGUUUUUUAAGUCUGAUGUGAAAGCCCACGGCUCAACCGUGGAGGGUCAUUGGAAACUGGAAAACUUGAGUGCAGAAGAGGAAAGUGGAAUUCCAUGUGUAGCGGUGAAAUGCGCAGAGAUAUGGAGGAACACCAGUGGCGAAGGCGACUUUCUGGUCUGUAACUGACGCUGAUGUGCGAAAGCGUGGGGAUCAAACAGGAUUAGAUACCCUGGUAGUCCACGCCGUAAACGAUGAGUGCUAAGUGUUAGGGGGUUUCCGCCCCUUAGUGCUGCAGCUAACGCAUUAAGCACUCCGCCUGGGGAGUACGACCGCAAGGUUGAAACUCAAAGGAAUUGACGGGGACCCGCACAAGCGGUGGAGCAUGUGGUUUAAUUCGAAGCAACGCGAAGAACCUUACCAAGUCUUGACAUCCUUUGACCACUCUAGAGAUAGAGCUUUCCCUUCGGGGACAAAGUGACAGGUGGUGCAUGGUUGUCGUCAGCUCGUGUCGUGAGAUGUUGGGUUAAGUCCCGCAACGAGCGCAACCCUUAAGCUUAGUUGCCAUCAUUAAGUUGGGCACUCUAAGUUGACUGCCGGUGACAAACCGGAGGAAGGUGGGGAUGACGUCAAAUCAUCAUGCCCCUUAUGAUUUGGGCUACACACGUGCUACAAUGGACAAUACAAAGGGCAGCGAAACCGUGAGGUCAAGCAAAUCCCAUAAAGUUGUUCUCAGUUCGGAUUGUAGUCUGCAACUCGACUACAUGAAGCUGGAAUCGCUAGUAAUCGUAGAUCAGCAUGCUACGGUGAAUACGUUCCCGGGUCUUGUACACACCGCCCGUCACACCACGAGAGUUUGUAACACCCGAAGCCGGUGGAGUAACCUUUUAGGAGCUAGCCGUCGAAGGUGGGACAAAUGAUUGGGGUGAAGUCGUAACAAGGUAGCCGUAUCGGAAGGUGCGGCUGGAUCACCUCCUUUCU